rnacentral:lncRNA from 10 species
GUUCAGGGUGAGAUUGGGAAGGUGGUGAGGCUGUGCUUUCCUUUCUUUUUGUUAAGAAGUGGGUGUGGGUGACUGCUGUACAGUGCAGCCCUUUGCAGAUUUGUCUUUGGAGGAGGAAGAGGGAUGGAAAGAGCCUUCGGUGUGGAAUUACCUUGGUUUUGAGUUAAGAAAGACCCACCUGGGUUCGAACCCUAAUGCUUCAGCUAGCGAAGGCAGGCUAGUAUGGGAGCUCGGCGCUGUUUCAGAUUUUGUAAUUUUAAGGCUUAUGCCUACCUUUUAAAUUGUUGUGGGGAGUAAAGCGAGACAAUAUAUAUGAAGCACUUAGCUUUGGUACAAAACGUAUUCGUGAUUCCGCUACCUUUUCCCAUCAUAUGUAGGCAUGUACUUGCCGUUUUCUUUUCUGUAUGUCUGAGAAAUGUUGUUUGCAAGAGGUAAUGCAUCUCACGAGAACAUAAUGCAACGAGAACGUUAGCUGGGAUCGAUCUCUUAUUUUGUAUUAGGAAGGCCUGAAAUAUUUUGCCUUUUUUUUGUGUGUGUGUGUCAUUUCCAGAGAUAGCUGUUCUCCAGCCUUUCUGGAGGGAUGCAGAGCCUUUCCUUAGGACAAACAAGCAUUUCAAAAGGUUUGAACUACCUAACCAUUAUGGCACCAGGAAACCUCUGGCAUAUGAGAAAUAACUUUCUCUUUGGUUCAAGAUGUUGGAUGACUCGAUUUUCAGCAGA